AUUGAACGCUGGCGGCAGGCCUAACACAUGCAAGUCGGGCGAGUGGCGGACGGGUGAGUAAUGUAUGGGGAUCUGCCUGAUGGAGGGGGAUAACUACUGGACACGGUAGCUAAUACCGCAUACCAUCAGAUGAACCCAUAGGGGAUUAGCUUGUAGGUGAGGUAACGGCGCACCUGGGCGACGAUCCCGAGCUGGUCUGAGAGGAUGAUCAGCCACACUGGGACUGAGACACGGCCCAGACUCCUACGGGAGGCAGCAGUGGGGAAUAUUGCACAAUGGGCGCAAGCCUGAUGCAGCCAUGCCGCGUGUAUGAAGAAGGCCUUCGGGUUGUAAAGUACUUUCAGUCGGGAGGCGUUACCGGCAGAAGAAGCACCGGCUAACUCCGUGCCAGCCGCCGCGGUAAUUC
rnacentral:rRNA from 1 species